rnacentral:rRNA from 1 species
GACGAACGCUGGCGGCGUGCUUAACACAUGCCAGUCGAACGGAAAGGCCCUGCUUUUGUGGGGUGCUCGAGUGGCGAACGGGUGAGUAACACGUGAGUAACCUGCCCUUGACUUUGGGAUAACUUCAGGAAACUGGGGCUAAUACCGGAUAGGAGCUCCUGCUGCAUGGUGGGGGUUGGAAAGUUUCGGCGGUUGGGGAUGGACUCGCGGCUUAUCAGCUUGUUGGUGGGGUAGUGGCUUACCAAGGCUUUGACGGGUAGCCGGCCUGAGAGGGUGACCGGCCACAUUGGGACUGAGAUACGGCCCAGACUCCUACGGGAGGCAGCAGUGGGGAAUAUUGCACAAUGGGCGGAAGCCUGAUGCAGCAACGCCGCGUGCGGGAUGACGGCCUUCGGGUUGUAAACCGCUUUCGCCUGUGACGAAGCGUGAGUGACGGUAAUGGGUAAAGAAGCACCGGCUAACUACGUC